rnacentral:tRNA from 1 species
GGAUGCUUAGUGUAACUGGCAGCACGAUAGUCUCCAAAACUAUUAGUAGUGGUUCAAAUCCAUUAGCAUCUG